AUUGAACGCUGGCGGCAGGCUUAACACAUGCAAGUCGAGUGGAGACGAGGUGCUUGCACCUUAUCUUAGCGGCGGACGGGUGAGUAAUGCUUAGGAAUCUGCCUAUUAGUGGGGGACAACAUUCCGAAAGGAAUGCUAAUACCGCAUACGUCCUACGGGAGAAAGCAGGGGAUCUUCGGACCUUGCGCUAAUAGAUGAGCCUAAGUCGGAUUAGCUAGUUGGUGGGGUAAAGGCCUACCAAGGCGACGAUCUGUAGCGGGUCUGAGAGGAUGAUCCGCCACACUGGGACUGAGACACGGCCCAGACUCCUACGGGAGGCAGCAGUGGGGAAUAUUGGACAAUGGGGGGAACCCUGAUCCAGCCAUGCCGCGUGUGUGAAGAAGGCCUUAUGGUUGUAAAGCACUUUAAGCGAGGAGGAGGCUACUGAGACUAAUACUCUUGGAUAGUGGACGUUACUCGCAGAAUAAGCACCGGCUAACUCUGUGCCAGCCGCCGCAGUAAGAC
rnacentral:rRNA from 1 species